GACGAACGCUGGCGGCGCGCCUAACACAUGCAAGUCGAACGAGAGAUGAAGAGCUUGCUCUUCAAAUCGAGUGGCGAACGGGUGAGUAACGCGUGAGGAACCUGCCUCAAAGAGGGGGACAACAGUUGGAAACGACUGCUAAUACCGCAUAAGCCCACGGCUCGGCAUCGAGCAGGGGGAAAAGGGGCAAUCCGCUUUGAGAUGGCCUCGCGUCCGAUUAGCUAGUUGGUGAGGUAACGGCCCACCAAGGCGACGAUCGGUAGCCGGACUGAGAGGUUGAACGGCCACAUUGGGACUGAGACACGGCCCAGACUCCUACGGGAGGCAGCAGUGGGGAAUAUUGCACAAUGGGGGAAACCCUGAUGCAGCGACGCCGCGUGGAGGAAGAAGGUCUUCGGAUUGUAAACUCCUGUUGUUGAGGAAGAUAAUGACGGUACUCAACAAGGAAGUGACGGCUAACUACGUGCCAGCAGCCGCGGUAAAACGUAGGUCACAAGCGUUGUCCGGAAUUACUGGGUGUAAAGGGAGCGCAGGCGGGAGAACAAGUUGGAAGUGAAAUCCAUGGGCUCAACCCAUGAACUGCUUUCAAAACUGUUUUUCUUGAGUAGUGCAGAGGUAGGCGGAAUUCCCGGUGCAGCGGUGGAAUGCGUAGAUAUCGGGAGGAACACCAGUGGCGAAGGCGGCCUACUGGGCACCAACUGACGCUGAGG
rnacentral:rRNA from 1 species